CGCUCGGCGCGGCGCUCCAGCUGCUCUCAAACCAACUGCUCAAUUCUAUUCACUGCCGCGACGGAACAAAAAAGUGGCUAUUUAUUAGAAUACUUGUUUGGUAUUGUUCGGUGCCACACAAAAGGCGUUUCAUUAUGUUGGGGUGGGGAGAAAAGCCCCUCUCCUCUUUUUUUUUUUCUUUUUUUUUCUUUUCUCUCCAGAGCGAAACAAUAACUUGAAAUUGUCUUUAGAGUCUUUUCUAUCAAUAAUAAAUUUCAUUUUCUUCUCUCUCUCUCUCUCUCUCUGCCUCUCUCCCGUGCAGGGUGUGUGUGUGUGUGCGUGUGUGUAUGUGAGGGGGGGGAAGAGAGAGAGAGAGAGAGAGAGAGAGAGGGAGAGAGAGGGAGAGAGCGCGGAUGGUGAGUGUGCGUGUGUCGCCGGGCACUCGUGGCUCGGGCACAGCCGCCUGGGAGCUGCGGCUGGGCGAGGGGCGAGGAGGAGUGCUCGCUGGCCCCGCCGCCCUCGGCCGGGUCGCGCUGCCCUGCGCCUUCCCGGGCACGGUCGGAGGAAGGUGUGAGCUAGGCUAGAGGAGAGGGGAAAAAAAAAAAAAAAAAGAAAGAAAACAACACAAAAAAAAAUAAUAAUAAUAAGGCUGCCCCUUGAGCUGUUAUGUUGGGAGGAGGCUGGAGCUGGAAGAGCAACUGUGACAUUUGUCAUCACCAUGUGGUGAGCAGAGGAAACUCCCCUCUCUUCCACCCUCAUGUCAGGAGCCUACGCUCAAGGAGCAAAGGUCUGUGCCACCAGUAUCUUAAAACAUUGGGGGUCACCUUUCUUUCCCUCCUUGUCGUCUCUCAUUUUGCAAGUAUUGGUGAAGCCAAAGCUGCUUCUUGAACAACAGCGUUACUACAGUGAGCCUGCAAAGAUGGACAAUGCCACAGCAAGCCUUAGGUGCUAUCUAGCUCGGAGAUGGAGUGGUCAUACGUUUUAGUAGUCACCCCUGAGUCUGGACUAUGUUUAGCAUUCACACAGGAAGAAAGUUUCAUCAGACUAGUAGAAAUGAACUAAGAAACUCUGCAUUACAUUCUUUGCAGGACCAAGAAUAAUUCGGUGUUUAUUUCCUACUCCUUUAACUGACUCUUUUCCUUUUGCUAUAGUAAUGUACUCUGUAAUAAUGUCACAUAAAUUACAAAGGAAGCAAAGGAUGGAAUUAUUUAAAAGUAAAUAAUUAUCCACUACAAUUUGGUUAGCUUCCUAAAUUUGUUUGCCCCUUUCAAAAUGCAGUGUGUUGGUAAGAAGGAAAAGAUGAGAGUAACAAACAAAAGCAAAGAGAGGGUGAAGUGAAUGGGGCAAAUAAAUUACUGCAUAGGUGCCGUUUCAACUUCUGUCUGGAAAUGUCCUUCCUCAUGGCAAAGAGAGUUUUCCAAGGACAAGUACUAGAUUAAAAGAAAACCAUUUUCCUACUACAUUGCCCUCUGGGUCAAAUGAAUAACAGCGGGUACUCAGACUGUUGCCUGUUUCAUGCAAAUGUUUAAAUAGAGUUGAUGUGCCCUGUAUGCACCCUUCACCACCAGGCAUUUGUUAGUCGAUGUCCCCAAGACUCUUUCCCCUAUCAGUUCACCACCUUAAAACUCUACCUGCUAGACAAACAGAUCUCCCAAAAUCUGUGGCCUAGGAAGUCUUGUGAGUGCUUCAGGUACCCUCUGGGCCCCACACUUGCAGACUUGAAUACAGGAAGCCAGAGGAAAAGCAAAGUUGUGUAGCCGGUGCCUGUGCUGAAGACAGCAGCAACACACAUGGCUUGGGGACAAAUGCCUUGUUGCUGUAAGUGGGUGUGUCUCCAUCUGGAUCUCUGCUACGGUACUUCCAGAAAGACAUUAUGAAGGAGGAGGAUGUAGCGGCUUUCGAAGAGGAGCAGCUGCUCCUCCAUAUGUCUCAUGUAGAGGUGUUGCCAUGGGGCUCUGUGGAGCUGGGGAUCCACUCUGUGGACACUGCAGCUCCCACUUGUUGUUGGGAUGGACCAUGUUCACCAGGGCUCAGAACAUGGCGGGAGGAUGGGGGCCCACAAGGCCAUUGCACCGCCCUUUACCCGGGCAAGUCCCCCUCCUCCAGUAGCCCUAUUUCCAGCCCAUAAUACCAGCUGAAACUCAUCCCUUCUCAACAGCCUGCCAGCCUCACACUGCAGGGGUGAGAGUCCAGAGCUGGGUUAACCACCCCCUGCUCGGGCCUGCUGUCCCUCCACAGCCCCAAACAAGUGUCCCUCACCCCAGGUUAAUGGGCUGGGCUCUGACGUGAGGGAAAUGAUCACAAAUCUGCCCCUUGGGCAAGUUGCUGCAAUAACCAGGGACAACCUCCUUUCUCACUGGCCCUACAUCCCCUUGCCAACAUGAGCUAACUGGAAGCAAGAGCAGCUCCUCCCUUGAGGAGCUGAACUUUGCUUUUCUUUCACAGCUGGAACAUCUGCCCCUUCCCUCUACCAGCCCCAGCCCUGGUACAUUCAGCUGCAGUUAUCUCUGCUCAUGCACUGACUGUAUUUUUCAUGUUUAUUAUCAUCCAACACAGUGUAGUGCCAUCUGGCACAUGCACACACAGGGGGAAGAAAACCAUAUAUUCAGCAAAUGGAGCAUACAGGGUUUAGGUUUUGUUUUGUCUUGUUUUUCUUAUUCUUCCAGUUUUAUUUAAAAUUAUGCGGAAGGGAUAGCUGAGCAAUUCAGCUUCAUGAAAAAUGAUCAGAAAACCCCAGUUAGGAAAUUAAAAAUUAGAGGAAAGCGGUGACUCCAGGAAGGGACAAGAACAUUCCUUCUGCUGAAAUACGGUUUCUUCUUUUCCUCCUUCCAUAUUUCAUUUCACCUCAUGCUCUGAUAAGGAAUAAAAUUACUUUAAAAUGUUUGUGUUAACUCUUUUUACCCAGGUUUUGUUCUGGUCUUCCAAAUCACUAUUUUACUGUAAGAUGUGUUUUAAGCAAGUGACACGUAACAAAACACACUCCUCCAAAACACUAGAGCACUGUGAGCCACAGUGCAGCCCUUGAGAUCUUUGCUAUUUUCACUGCUAUGGUAAAAAUGAAUGCAAAAAUACAUCUGCAGAGUGGAAGUAAAAACCAUACAUAGCAGUUUCAGUGAAAGCUAGUACCUAAUGCAUUGCUACCUUAAUUCAAAGAUAGUUUUGUAACAGAGUUGUAUAAUCAAAGCAUUUUUCUUCCCUGAUAAUUCAUGCACUGUAAGAUUAUCAGUGGAGUUGCCCAUGAAAAAAGUACUACACAAUGUAUUGUAUUACUUGAUUCAUUUUCUUUCAUUUUUUACUCUAAUUUUGCCUAAUUACUCUAUUGUGAUCUAAGUCAGCAAUCUUAAAUUAACUAUCAGCUCAACUUUUGAAGAAAUCCUACAAAUGCGAGAUGAUGAAAUUUAAAUAACUGUUGGUUAUUGGAAAAUGUCUACGCCACGGAAAAGAAAACCUUCAGAUAUUUUUGUUCCAUUUGCAUAUAUAGCAUUGUAUUUUUCCUGUUUCAGUUUUCAGAGUAGAAUUAUCUGACUUUUCCAAACUAUAAAAAUACUGUCAAAAAACCUGUUUGGGGUAGUGGUGGUGGUUUUGUUGUUGUUGUGGUUAAGAACGAUAGCUGUAAUGAAAAUGUGAAAGAAAAUAGUUCUUGGGACUAAAUUGUUAGUUAUUCAGACUUCUUCAGAAAAACAACUUGUUGUUUUACAGAUACAGAACGGUAAAACUGUUCUCUGAUCCUGCUAAAAUAAAUAUGUUCCAGUGCAAGUGGCACAAUAUCUGUAUAUUGAGCUAGAUUCUGGCCUCAAAUCUGUUUAAAAUUCAAUAUAUCCUUUGCUCAAGCCCUCAUCCAAGGCAAAGCGACAUCACUGUAAUGACUUCAAGUGGGCUUUGGAUCGAGGCCUUUUACACCACUAUGCCUCACGCCACUACUCUGAGAAAGGCUUUUUUUACUAUGUCUUUCUUUUCCUGUGAAAUUAGAUUAAUUUGGAAUGAAUUAGAAAUGCUUGAGCAGAGAUGCUCAGGGUUACUUUUAAUGAAAAUACUUUUCAUUUGAAAUAUUUCUUACAAAUACAAUUUGCUAGCAAAAUAAAAAUCUGCACUUUUUGGUAUAUUUCUGCUCAUGGUUGAUUUUUGGGUGAAUUGCACUUUACUUUUACAUGCAUGUGUUCAUUGCCUUGUUUCUGGAUUGCAACCUUUAUGUAAAUAACAAGCGAAAAGAAAAUCUAUUGUAAAAUACAAUGUAUGACAAAUUCAUUGAAACAAGCAAAAUAAUUUAAAUAAUGGUAAUUCAAUAAAUGUCAGGAAAGCAAUCCCA